CAAAACAUAUAACAUUUACAAGAUGGCUGACUUCUAGUAACUUGAAAUGCUAAAUGAAAUAAUAGAAGAUAAAUGCCAUGCCUUACAACAACAGUGUUUUUUUUUUAUGUCAAAAUUAUGUUAAACUUUCGUGUUACCAUAAACUGGGGACAAGAAGCCACGUUUAAAAACUGUAUUAACGUUACUGUAUAUUUGCUUGCUGCAUGGUAAUUUGUACUGUCACAGAACACUUUAGCUUCAGAAACCAUGUUUAAAACACAUACAUUUUAUUGCAUGGUUAUUUCCUGGUUGUGGUCUCUGUCUCCCUCUCUCUCUUUCUCAAGCCAACAUAAAGAUUGCAAGUUUUACUACAACUAGUUAUGUUUAUGAAUUACAGAAUACAGACAAUGGCCAGAAGUGUGGCAUGGUCUAGAGUGUAACUACUUGGUCCAGAAACGGCCAAUAGUAUCCUGAAUAGUCUGUCUGAAUUCAUGAAUAUUCUGGAAACAUUGCCUCAACCGCAAGUUCCCCAGGCUUACAGUGCUCCAUUGGUGAGGGGUUUCUCUGGUCGACCACAAUAUUCCAUUACACAGGAGCAGUUCUGUGAAAUUAUUUGUUCAUGGCAGUACUAAAUUAAAACAAAUCUUCAAAAUUA